AUAGAUAUUACACAGAACACCGAUUGCGAAGGCAGCUUACCAAACCAGCACUGACGCUGAUAGCACGAAAGCGUGGGGAGCGNACAGGAUUAGAUACCCUGGUAGUCCACGCCGUAAACUUUGCUCACUCGCUGUUGGCGAUAGACAGUCAGCGGCCAAGGGAAACCGAUAAGUGAGCCACCUGGNGAGUACGGCCGCAAGGUUGAAACUCAAAGGAAUUGACGGGGGCCCGCACAAGCGGUGGAACAUGUGGUUUAAUUCGAUGAUACGCGAGGAACCUUACCUGGGCUUAAAUGUGAAGUGCAUUGAUUGGAAACAAUCAUUUCCUUCGGGACCCUUUACAAGGUGCUGCAUGGUUGUCGUCAGCUCGUGCCGUGAGGUGUCGGGUUAAGUCCCAUAACGAGCGCAACCCCUAUUGUUAGUUACCAGCGCGUAAUGGCGGGGACUCUAGCGAAACUGCCGGUGCAAACCGCGAGGAAGGUGGGGAUGACGUCAAAUCAGCACGGCCCUUAUGUCCAGGGCUACACACGUGUUACAAUGGCCGGUACAGCGGGCAGCUAGGCAGCGAUGUCAUGCUAAUCCCGAAAGCCGGUCCCAGUUCGGAUUGGAGUCUGCAACCCGACUCCAUGAAGGUGGAUUCGCUAGUAAUCGCGCAUCAGCCA
rnacentral:rRNA from 1 species